GAUGUGGUGGCGCAGUGGUUAAGCGUGCUUGACUCAGGACCAAAAGGUCCUGAGUUCUAGUCCUUGCCAUGGCU